GUGACAAGCAUUCCACCUCGGAAGCAGGCAGAGAAAUGCAAGCCGCAUUUAGCUCACAGAGCUGGGCAGCUUAACUGAGUUCCACUUCAAAAUGUAUCUCUUGCUGGAUCACUGUACAGUCAUUGGAAAUGAUUAAUUGAUAAUGAAGUGUUUGAUGUUCAUGCUUUUAUUUGGAAGAGACAGUGCCACAAACUGCUACUUGCAGUGAAAGUGAAUGGCAUUAAAGCUGAGGAGUGCACUACACCUGAAUCCUUUAGGCAUUUGUGGGGUGCUGAAGGACCAAUUGCUUCAUACCUAAUUGCUCACUUCAAGAUAAUGAUUUGGUUCCCUUUUGAAAGUCAAAAUUGACUCAACCUCCAACACACUGCCAGAAUAUAUCCUUGAAAGACUCAAUGAGGAGGAUGCACCAUCAUGGACGGAUAACUAAGGAAGUUGAUGAUAUAAGAAAGAAGGUGUACAAUGCUGCAAAGAUACAUCUGUCCAUCCAUGAGAGUACUGAUAGGAGUGACCACCGCACAAUCCUUGUGGAGACGCCUUCGUACAUUGACCAUCAGGUUUAUCCCGUCUGUUGCUUGUCUUCUUCUGUGGAAUGAUUAAAGCUGAGGCUGUGAAUCCUGACUGCUGCCUACAUUUGGUUAUCUGCAUGAUCCGUAACAACACUCCUGUCACUGCUUAUUUGCCUUGCAAAGCAAAGGAGAGGUGUCAAAGAUAUACACUAGACUGCUGAGAGGCUUUAGCUCCUGAGAUUAUCUUUUACUGAUUUAGGGAUAAUUUAGCAGCAUCCAAGUCUCGAGAGACCAAUGAAAAUUUAGUUGGAGCCACAGCAGAAUCUGUGGCCCUUAAUAAUACUUCUGAGCAUCUGUUUUGCUGCAAAAUGAUUUUAACACCACAGCUGGAUUUAUCGCAUGAUACCUGUCCAAGGAAUUAUUCUAAUAAUACGCUCCUGCAGUUCUGCAGUGAUAGUCUGAGAUGCGCAUGCAUACCAAAAAAACAUUAUUAACAUGUUAAAUCAUUUGAAAACUAAUGGUUGAAAUUUGUUAAUAAGGGCUUAUAAUGUAUUAAUUUUCACACACACCAGGUGAUAUUAGAGUCAAUGGGGGAUGAAGGAAAUGAUUUAACACUCUUGAUGUCAUGGUAGGAACAGCUGACUGAUUUCUGACGUCUGACUUUUACCUGCUUCACUGUGACAGUGAAUUCUGAAGCUCACCUUUUUCUGGGUGAAGAAAUUUCUCCUCCUCUCAGUCCUAAAAGGUUCAACCCUUAUCCUUAAAAUAUGACCUCUGAUUCUGGACUCCCGACCAUUGGGAACUACAUCGAAGUUGUCCAGUCCUGUUAGAAUUUUGUGGGUUUCUAUGAGAUACCCCACCCCUCCCGCCUCAUUCUUCUAAACUCUAGUAAUACAAUCCUACGUAACCCAAUCUCUCCUCAUAUGUCACUUCUGCUAUCCAACGAAUUUUGGUAAAACCUUCGCUGCACUCCCUGUACAGCAAGAACAUGCUUUCUCAGAUAAGGAGACUAAAAUUGCAUACAGUAUUCCAAGUGUGGCCUCACCAUGGCCCUGUAUAAUUGCUGCAAGUCACCCUUGUUCCUGUACUCAAAUCUUCUCGCCAUGAAGGCCAACAUACCCUUUCAAAUAAUACUCUGUGAUCUAACAUCCGGAUCAAUCGUAUAACAGAUGUUAAAUUAUCCGAAGAAAUGCUAUUUUCUUUUGCCUUCUGACUUGCCUAAAACUAUUUCUAUGCAGUUGAUAUUGCUUGAGUGGCCCUGAGAAAAGUUAGUUCUGCUGUCUCUCCAUUUGGCUGCAGCAGAGAUAGAACAGAGGCAGAUGUGACUGGGCUGGGCUUGUGAUGUUAGGGUCCAGGCUAAUGCUCUGAGAACUGAGAUUCAACUCUUACCAUGGCAGCUCACUUAAAUUCAAUUAUUACAUCUAGAGUUGAAAGCUAGCCUCCGUAAUCAUCAUCAUAAAGCUAUUAUUGAUUGCCGAAAUCCUAUCUAGUUCACUGAUGUGCUUUAGGAAAGGAAAUCUUUUGUUCUGUGACAUCAAACUUGUUUACCUUGAAACGGCCCAGGAAACCAUACAGUUCGAGGGUAAUUAGGGAUGAAGAACAAAUGCCAGUCUUGUCAAUGACACACACAUAUUCCAUAAAAGAAUAGUGUUAAAAAAAGGGGUUCAAUAGUAUAAUUGAUUGCUACUGUGCCAAAAGUCAAACAGGAUAAUCAUUUUUCACGACUUUGAUGCAAACAUUGAUCUAGGUAACAGAUGUGGGAAAGAACCACCAAAAAUAAGUGGGAUAUACUGCUAUUAAACAAUGAUCUCCUCUUGCUGAUGUUGGAGCUGAGCAUGGUCCCUUAAUCACCAAUAGUUUCCAUCUCCCUGACCACAGAAUGUAUGCAGAGGCCAUUUGUUGUUUUAACAGCAAAUGGACAAUGUUUUAAUUGGACAGGUGGGGAAGGCAAGUUUUCGCAAAACCAUGUGUGACACUCACUGAUGGACUGACCAUCUUCGUAGUUUCAAAACUUCAUUCAAUAUUCAUGCCCUAGACACCUUAGAACAUGAAAAUCUAAACUCUUUUGAUGUUUCAAGGCUCAAACAGUGGUCAUGAGGGAAACCAUCUCAGAGAAACUCCAAAAUUUCAGUUUGUGAAGUGAAAAUGGGUGUUGCAUUGAGAAUGACUGAAUGAUCUUCUGAGAUAUAAUAUUUUACACUGCUGUGGAUUCCCUUACCCCUACCUCUGGUCAGAAUCAAGAUUGGUUUAAUAAAAACAAUGAGGUAAUCCAGAAAUGACUGGAGAAGAAACAUUGCCACUACAGGGCUUAAAUAAUGACAAAAAUUAUGACAUUAUGACAAAAAAUGUAUUAACAGGACUGACCAAUGCAAGCUCAGAGAGAUUAGUUUAGAUUGCCUACAGUGUGGAAACAGGCACUUUGACCCAGCAAGUCCAUGCCAAUCCUCCGAAGAAUAACCCACCUAGACCCAUUCCCCUAUCCUACACUUAUCCCUGAUGAAUGCACACAAUAUGGGCGAUUUAGCAUGGUCAGUUCACCUGGCCUGCACAUCCUUGGACUGUGGGAGGAAGCCAGAGCGCCCAGA